rnacentral:piRNA from 1 species
CUGUGGAAAUAUUAAUCUUGGAGGGU